rnacentral:rRNA from 1 species
GAUGAACGCUGGCGGCGUGCCUAAUUCAUGCAAGUCGAGCGAACAGAUGAGGAGCUUGCUCCUCUGACGUUAGCGGCGGACGGGUGAGUAACACGUGGAUAACCUACCUAUAAGACUGGGAUAACUUCGGGAAACCGGAGCUAAUACCGGAUAAUAUAUUGAACCGCAUGGUUCAAUAGUGAAAGACGGUUUUGCUGUCACUUAUAGAUGGAUCCGCGCCGCAUUAGCUAGUUGGUAAGGUAACGGCUUACCAAGGCAACGAUGCGUAGCCGACCUGAGAGGGUGAUCGGCCACACUGGAACUGAGACACGGUCCAGACUCCUACGGGAGGCAGCAGUAGGGAAUCUUCCGCAAUGGGCGAAAGCCUGACGGAGCAACGCCGCGUGAGUGAUGAAGGUCUUCGGAUCGGUAAACUCUUUUAUUAGGGAAGAACAAAUGUGUAAGUAACUAUGCACGUCUUGACGGUACCUAAUCAGAAAUCCACGGCUAACUACGUG